rnacentral:lncRNA from 1 species
GCCAAGUAAUAAAAUGCAUGUGAUGAUAAAUAAGUAACAAUUAUAAAGUUUUUUCAUGUGAAUAAUAGUCGGUCCAAAGAAAUACAAUUAUUUGAUAGAACUAAUUGUUAAUAUUUGAUCAUGAUGUUGAGAGUACCACUUACAAAUUAAUUUAUAUGUCCAAAGACUAGAAAUUGAUGUUGUGUUAGGUAUAUUGUGAAGAGUCUAUUAUGUGAACAUGUCUUGUUUUAUAUUUAUUACGUGACUUAUUUAUUGAAAUGAUUGCAACAUUUAUGGUUUGUUGCAUUGGUUGGUGGCUAAUAGCAUUAUUAAGUAGAUGCUAUUGUUGAAGCAUUGUUUCUGUUUGGACAGCUUGCCCUACCAUAUUUAAUCAUGAAUAAAAUGGUAAUAUUUUCUUUUAUGGAAAAUUCAAAAGGGUCAUUACUAGAAUUCGAAAUGAAGUCUGUGAUGAGAAUGAUGC